rnacentral:rRNA from 1 species
AGCAGCCGCGGUAAUUCCAGCUCCAAUAGCGUAUAUUAAAGUUGUUGCAGUUAAAAAGCUCGUAGUUGAAUUUCGGGGUUAGCAAGUUGGUCGUGCCUUUGGUAUGCACUGGCUUUGCUGAUUCCUCCUUCUUGAAGAACUGUGAUGCUAUUAAUUUGGUGUUGCAGGGAAACAGGACUGUUACUUUGAAAAAUUAGAGUGUUUAAAGCAGGCUAACGCUUGAAUACAUUAGCAUGGAAUAAUGAAAUAGGACGUUUGAUCCUAUUUUGUUGGUUUCUAGGAUUGACGUAAUGAUUAAUAGGGAUAGUUGGGGGCAUUAGUAUUCAAUUGUCAGAGGUGAAAUUCUUGGAUUUAUUGAAGACUAACUACUGCGAAAGCAUUUGCCAAGGAUGUUUUCAUUAAUCAAGAACGAAAGUUAGGGGAUCGAAGACGAUCAGAUACCGUCGUAGUCUUAACCAUAAACUAUGCCGACUAGGGAUCGGAUGAUGUUAAUUUUUUAAUGUA